AGUCCAUGAUGAGGAAACCUUAUCAACAAAUCCUUAAAUAUCUCCCAUGUAUCAUAAAGAGUCUCAAUAUCAAGCUGAACAAAAGAAGUGAUGUCAUUCCUCAACUU
rfam:Gossypium arboreum cultivar AKA8401 contig_43994_1, whole genome shotgun sequence.